AGUAGCCAGUUACUGCUGUGCAGCUGACAAGGGGUUCACUCCUGUUUCUGUAGCAGAGGUUAACCAACCUGCAAAUGUACUCUGGGCUGUUCUAUUGAGGAUUUAAAAGAAUUUUAAGUAUUUCUUUAAAAAGAGACAGGGACAGGAGCAGGUAGCAAUAUAGCUUUCCCUCUCUGAGGGGCUGCCUUCAAACCAGGAGGAUGUUUUUCCCAUGGGAAGACACAGCACAUGCCAUAACAGGAGGAUCCCACAUAACAAAAGUUUUCAAAAAUCGAGAAACAACAUGUUUGCAGAAAAGCUGCCACACCAUACCAGUAUAAAAGUCACAGCAAGAUCUUGCUGUUUCUUUUACUGUACCAGCUAUUUUACAUAGGAAGAUAGAAACAUCUUUACCCCAUGAGGGUGUGGAGCUGAACCUCUGUGACCAGCAGGAGCCCAGAGAAGUGCAUCAGCCUGGUGGGUUUGACACGCUUGGAAUUUGCCUUCAAGCAAAACCAGGUGCUGCACAGAGAACCUGGAAAUGAUCCAGUCCCCAAACUGCUUACAAUAUUGAGGAGAUUUUAACUUUCCACAUCACUGAAUGGCAGCUGAACACUCCAGAAGUGCAAAGCAUGGGAAUCAUCAGCAAU